rnacentral:snoRNA from 1 species
AAAGCGGAGAUUGUGUGUAUCGACGUUGUGCGAAUUGAAAUUCAAAUGCACUCUGAUCGAAAGUAUUCUCCGCAAAAUUGAUGUUCGCAGGUGAAAGUGGGCAGUUGUUUUUCAUUUUUCUCCAUUGAAAAUUCAACAAUCAUUUUCUCCACAUUC